UUUUGUGUGUGUGUUGGUGUGUAUGUGUGUGUGUGUGUGUGUGUGUGUGUGUGUGUGUGUAUGUGCCUGUGCAUGUUCGUUCCUGCCUGUGUAGGUCGUCGUAUUGAUGCCACAAUGUAUGGAUGAAGAUCAGAGUGACAAGUUAGGGAGCAAUGUUUUCCUUCUACCACGUGUCUCCCAGGAAUCAAACUCAGGUUACAGCAAGCAUCUUCCAGCACCACGUAAUGGUGGCCCAGCCCUUCCCUGGGGGAUUCUAGACAGGAGCUCUCUACCACUGGGCUACUCUCUUAAUCUCUCUCUGGACUCUAGGAAACUGUGCUAGCUGCCUCCCCAGACCCCUUGAGCUUUUUUUGAUCUAGGAACCAGCAUAUCUCGUCGGCAGAAAUGUCACUCCAGAUGGCUAAAUUUGAGUGGAUCUGUUUGUAAGAAUCCUUUAAACUCAGUCCAGGAGUUUGGUUCAGGACCCCAUGGAGGAGCCUCAAUGUCUACUACAUCCCUUGGCACUGUGGAGUCCAGGGAAACCAAUGCUCAUGUGAAGCAGCUAUACGCCGGAAACGGAUCCGCUCAAAGCCUCAUUCCCAACGACCUACUUCCUGUCUUCAGCUUUUCACCACCAAAAGUCCCACUAUUUCCCAAAGGAUGCGACCUGUUGGAGACAACAGAUGUUCAAGCACAUGAACACCUUUCACACCCAAACACAAGGAGCUCAGGACAGGAUAGCAACAGCAGUGUAGAGUGCUCCUGGCAAAGUGCUCAUGAUACCUCCUUGGGCCAAGCUGGUCACCGUGAUGGGCAUGAUAUUGAGGCUGGAGGCUGAUGGUGGAUGAGGGCUGUGGUAUGGAGCGGGAUCCUUCUUCCUAGUGCAGGCAGGUCCUAGGGGCUGCCCUGGCACCCUUACUGGGGCCCCCAAAGGAAGCUCAUCAUGAUCUUCACUGUUCUAGCACGCUAGACGAUCCAUGCUCCUGGCUGGUGGCUGAAGCUAUAAUUAUUGACUAUAGGUUUGCCUAUAGCAGGGAAAAUGCCCAAAUCCAAUUGAUGAGGCUCACAGUGGGAAAGGACUGCCAGUGGAGCCGCCCGGCUUUCCGUUGUCAUGGAAGCGUGGCAUGAGCGGCUGUUGCAGAGGCUUCUAUUUCCUGGGUACCAGGGGAUCCUCCAGGUCAGGAACUGCUCUUUGCUCCCAUGCUACCUGAAAAAUCUGGAACCCCACAGAGAAGAAGGAAAAGGCAGCUUUGGUGUCUUCACCUUCAGGGAAUCCUUUAGAUGCCGCUUUCCAUCACAACAGCGCCACCUGCCAGAUGCAUCUGCGAGCACAUGCAUUUGGAGAAUGGCCUCUAUCAUUCUCUAGAGAUCCUUGCAGAGUCAGGCUGGAGCCCAGAGACUUUGAUUUCCCUAUCUCACACCCCCGUUUCAGGAUUAGUUAGUGGAAAACUGACUACUACAAGGCUGGGAACUGCUGAAUGUAAGUUCUGUGCUCAAGAACUCACCAUGUCCAGUCCUCGGACUAUUUCAGGACGUUUGUUUAUUUUUAUUUAUUUAUGAGAUAAGGCCUUGCUAUGUAGCUAAGGCUGGCCUCUAACUCAUCACUCUUCAUCUUCAGCCACCCAAAAGCUGGGAUUAUAGGCAUACACCUUCGCCACACUCCCACAACUAGGUCAUCUCGGUUUGGCAUGAAAAAGUAGCAACUACCCCUUUGUCCCUUUGAAUAAAAUCUUAGCCACCUCCUCACCCCCCACAUUGCUGGUUCCUCAAUUCACAGACAUCCUACCCCUUGAAUGACUGGUUGGGACUGUGGUAAGGGCUGAUGUGUUCGCUAGGUGGCAGCAUCCACCAGUCUCUGUUGAAGGUUUCUCUACACUAUGUGACCACCACCAGCAACAGGAAUAGACUGGCCAAAACUCAGCUGAGAAGAACUGGAACUCCACUUGCCUCAAUUCUGGGCUCACGCAGCUUAUGCCAUUUGUUAAUGCGUGUGGCCACCCCCAGGAAACUUCAUAUCUUCUUGGUUGUGUUUUGCAUAGUAACAGACCAAAGCAGGGGGAGAGCUAUAUAAACCGUUUGAAAAUUCCAGGUCCUGCUGCCUGUUGUUUCUUGGGGCUGAUGUGCCUUUACUCACUGAACACCCUGACAGAGAAGUCGGUUCAGUCUACUGAGGUGUCGCAGCCCUCAGGGGCUGAGGGAGAUUAUUCUGGGCUAUGGAAUGAAUUCAAGGGUCAGCCUGGGCAACUUAGUGAAGCUAUUUCAAAGUUAAAAUAACAACAACAAAACAACAAAUAAGACUGGGGAGGUAACUCAGGGGGGAGAUUUCCUGCCUAGGUUAGCUGCAUGAGGGGUUGGGGGUGUGACUCAGGGGUAGAGCCCCUGCCUAGAGUCGCCCAGUGAGCAUGAACCAGACAUUUAGUUCAGUCCUAUGUAUCAACCCCCCACCCACCACACACACACACACACUUUGGUCGAGUCAUAGUUUUCCUUAAACUCACAUGGCUCUAGAUCAGCAAAGGACUGACUGGGAUAAAUUUGGCCAGUCACCUGGUCCACAAGCUAACAUGUAUUUGUACCUAAUGUGAAUAUACAGUAAAGGCCAUAUGUCCUGCAGAACUGAAA